rnacentral:rRNA from 1 species
GGGACACGUGGUAUCCUGUCUGAAUAUGGGGGGACCAUCCUCCAAGGCUAAAUACUCCUGACUGACCGAUAGUGAACCAGUACCGUGAGGGAAAGGCGAAAAGAACCCCGGCGAGGGGAGUGAAAAAGAACCUGAAACCGUGUACGUACAAGCAGUGGGAGCACGCUUAGGCGUGUGACUGCGUACCUUUUGUAUAAUGGGUCAGCGACUUAUAUUCUGUAGCAAGGUUAACCGAAUAGGGGAGCCGAAGGGAAACCGAGUCUUAACUGGGCGUUAAGUUGCAGGGUAUAGACCCGAAACCCGGUGAUCUAGCCAUGGGCAGGUUGAAGGUUGGGUAACACUAACUGGAGGACCGAACCGACUAAUGUUGAAAAAUUAGCGGAUGACUUGUGGCUGGGGGUGAAAGGCCAAUCAAACCGGGAGAUAGCUGGUUCUCCCCGAAAGCUAUUUAGGUAGCGCCUCGUGAAUUCAUCUCCGGGGGUAGAGCACUGUUUCGGCAAGGGGGUCAUCCCGACUUACCAACCCGAUGCAAACUGCGAAUACCGGAGAAUGUUAUCACGGGAGACACACGGCGGGUGCUAACGUCCGUCGUGAAGAGGGAAACAACCCAGACCGCCAGCUAAGGUCCCAAAGUCAUGGUUAAGUGGGAAACGAUGUGGGAAGGCCCAGACAGCCAGGAUGUUGGCUUAGAAGCAGCCAUCAUUUAAAGAAAGCGUAAUAGCUCACUGGUCGAGUCGGCCUGCGCGGAAGAUGUAACGGGGCUAAACCAUGCACCGAAGCUGCGGCAGCGACGCUGAUGCGUUGUUGGGUAGGGGAGCGUUCUGUAAGCCUGCGAAGGUGUGCUGUGAGGCAUGCUGGAGGUAUCAGAAGUGCGAAUGCUGACAUAAGUAACGAUAAAGCGGGUGAAAAGCCCGCUCGCCGGAAGACCAAGGGUUCCUGUCCAACGUUAAUCGGGGCAGGGUGAGUCGACCCCUAAGGCGAGGCCGAAAGGCGUAGUCGAUGGGAAACAGGUUAAUAUUCCUGUACUUGGUGUUACUGCGAAGGGGGGACGGAGAAGGCUAUGUUGGCCGGGCGACGGUUGUCCCGGUUUAAGCGUGUAGGCUGGUUUUCCAGGCAAAUCCGGAAAAUCAAGGCUGAGGCGUGAUGACGAGGCACUACGGUGCUGAAGCAACAAAUGCCCUGCUUCCAGGAAAAGCCUCUAAGCAUCAGGUAACAUCAAAUCGUACCCCAAACCGACACAGGUGGUCAGGUAGAGAAUACCAAGGCGCUUGAGAGAACUCGGGUGAAGGAACUAGGCAAAAUGGUGCCGUAACUUCGGGAGAAGGCACGCUGAUAUGUAGGUGAAGUCCCUCGCGGAUGGAGCUGAAAUCAGUCGAAGAUACCAGCUGGCUGCAACUGUUUAUUAAAAACACAGCACUGUGCAAACACGAAAGUGGACGUAUACGGUGUGACGCCUGCCCGGUGCCGGAAGGUUAAUUGAUGGGGUUAGCCGCAAGGCGAAGCUCUUGAUCGAAGCCCCGGUAAACGGCGGCCGUAACUAUAACGGUCCUAAGGUAGCGAAAUUCCUUGUCGGGUAAGUUCCGACCUGCACGAAUGGCGUAAUGAUGGCCAGGCUGUCUCCACCCGAGACUCAGUGAAAUUGAACUCGCUGUGAAGAUGCAGUGUACCCGCGGCAAGACGGAAAGACCCCGUGAACCUUUACUAUAGCUUGACACUGAACAUUGAGCCUUGAUGUGUAGGAUAGGUGGGAGGCUUGGAAGUGUGGACGCCAGUCUGCAUGGAGCCGACCUUGAAAUACCACCCUUUAAUGUUUGAUGUUCUAACGUUGACCCGUAAUCCGGGUUGCGGACAGUGUCUGGUGGGUAGUUUGACUGGGGCGGUCUCCUCCUAAAGAGUAACGGAGGAGCACGAAGGUUGGCUAAUCCUGGUCGGACAUCAGGAGGUUAGUGCAAUGGCAUAAGCCAGCUUGACUGCGAGCGUGACGGCGCGAGCAGGUGCGAAAGCAGGUCAUAGUGAUCCGGUGGUUCUGAAUGGAAGGGCCAUCGCUCAACGGAUAAAAGGUACUCCGGGGAUAACAGGCUGAUACCGCCCAAGAGUUCAUAUCGACGGCGGUGUUUGGCACCUCGAUGUCGGCUCAUCACAUCCUGGGGCUGAAGUAGGUCCCAAGGGUAUGGCUGUUCGCCAUUUAAAGUGGUACGCGAGCUGGGUUUAGAACGUCGUGAGACAGUUCGGUCCCUAUCUGCCGUGGGCGCUGGAGAACUGAGGGGGGCUGCUCCUAGUACGAGAGGACCGGAGUGGACGCAUCACUGGUGUUCGGGUUGUCAUGCCAAUGGCACUGCCCGGUAGCUAAAUGCGGAAGAGAUAAGUGCUGAAAGCAUCUAAGCACGAAACUUGCCCCGAGAUGAGUUCUCCCUGACCCUUUAAGGGUCCUGAAGGAACGUUGAAGACGACGACGUUGAUAGGCCGGGUGUGUAAGCGCAGCGAUGCGUUGAGCUAACCGGUACUAAUGAACCGUGAGGCUUAACCUUACAACGC